rnacentral:rRNA from 1 species
GAGUUUGAUCCUGGCUCAGAACGAACGCUGGCGGCGUGCUUAACACAUGCAAGUCAGGGAGAAAGUCUCUUCGGGGAUGAUUAAACCGGCGCACGGGUGAGUAACACGUGAGUGACCUGCCUUUUAGACUGGAACAACUUACCGAAAGGUGAGCUAAUGCCGGAUGAGUUAUAUAAGUGCAUGUUUAUAUAGGAAAAGUUGGGGAGACCUGACGCUGAAAGAUGGACUCGCGUCCCAUUAGCUAGUUGGUAGGGUAAUGGCCUACCAAGGCGACGAUGGGUAGCCGGCCUGAGAGGGUGGCCGGCCACACUGGGACUGAGACACGGCCCAGACUCCUACGGGAGGCAGCAGUGGGGAAUUUUGCGCAAUGCUCGUAAGAGUGACGCAGCGACGCCGCGUGAAUGACGAAGGCCUACGGGUCGUAAAGUUCUUUCGACAGGGAAGAAAAUGCCUAUAAGUAACUGUGUAUGUAUUGACGGUACCUGUAUAAGCAGCCCCGGCUAACUCCGUGCCAGCAGCCGCGGUAAUACGGAGGGGGCGAGCGUUGUUCGGAGUGACUGGGCGUAAAGAGCACGU